ACGGCAGCGCAGGGAGCAGGUGGAAGCACAAACCUCUCUGCCUCUCCUCCCCUCUCCGCCACCCGCACUUGUCCCUGCCACCCCUCUCCUUGCCCAGGGGUUUUGUGUGCAAGGCAGGAGCACACCGUGCACAAGGACAGGACCUAGUGAGCAUCCCUCUUCCCCGAGCUGCUGCUUCUCAGCUGUCCUUGUGCCACACACCUGGGUCUGCUCCGUGUGUGCCACACACGUCCCUGUGGCUGCACCUGAGCCUGUUUCAGCCUUGCCCAGCACACACAAGGUACUGUGCACACCACUCCAUAUUUUACCUUUUUACCAUAUCCCAACCCUCUCCUGUGCUUACAGCUCUUUCACCAUCAGGCUGCCGUGACUGUGCUUUCCCCACGGACCACGAAGGGACUAAAAAGAUCAUCCAGACUGGGGCAAAACAACACAUUUGGGCACUAAGUGGUGCACCCAGCUCCAGCCCUGCCCUUCUCCCGACAGGGGCUGAGUUGCCAGCCUUGGGCUGGGGUCCUCAAUCCCAUCCGUGCUCCCUGCUCCUUGGACUUGCCAGCAGAAGAUGAGCAUCAGGCUUUCCGUAGGGGCUGCUGGUUUAUCUGUGGGCACCGGCACACCGAUGCGCUGCUCAUGAAUCACAACAUCUCUUAUGCACCAACUUCUUCGAAAUGCAAAGCUCUCCCUUGGUAUUUCGGCCCAAAGUGAAGCCGGAGAGAGAGGAAACAGAGAGAUGGAGAGCUGCGAUGCCGAUACGACUGGGGAUUGUUUUGCUUUCGCGAAAUGAUUUUUCCCAUUUCGCAGCAAAUUCGGUGCUGAUGAGCCCGAAGGCUUCGCUCACCCAUGUGGCACGAAGCCUGGGGAGCAGGCAGACAUCUGGAAAAAUGCUCUGCUGUACCUGUGGGGAGGCAGGAAAUUUGCUCUCGGCUGCCCCGCUCCCUUUGCCCCAUCUUCUUGGUGCUCACACAGAAAUUCCUGGCACCGUGAAUAGGACCUGAUGGAAAAACCUGCAGAAAGGGAUGAGGAAAAACGGGGCUUUCUGGGCUCUGCCACAGGUUCCUGAGCUACCCAGCGUGUUGGAGCAGAGGGGGCUUCAUUUGGAGCCUUGGCUCGGCAGACAAGAAGCAGAUUACAAACUUCUUCAGUCCUGGAGCAGAGCUGGGAUGGGAGGAUUGCUCCCUCCAUCUGUUCUUCUCAUAGACAAUCUGCCUUCGAAAGCCACCGCCGCAUAAAUCUGGAGAAAGUGUAAAUGCAGGAGCACCUGAAUAUUGUUUAACAGAUGGGGACACACAUUUUUCAGGCGGAGAUUUCCCUUCCAUCACCCCACUUAUUUUAGAGGUGUUUUUCAGGACCGUCCCGUGACUGCCUGGCACUGAGCUGGCGUCCCAGCCUCCGGUCUGCGGCCACUCGAGUUAAUUUUCAGCAGCAAACUUUGCUGUGUGAACACUCUCGUGACAUUUCUGAAACUUGCUUUCAUCUCUUUCGGUGCCUCCUUCCCUUCCAACUAAAUUCCCGUUUCUCAUCAAAUGUUUCUGGAGGAUCGUUGGCAGGGAGCAAAGCCGUGCUCUGCCCUGGGUAUAAGUCGGCUCGAGGAGCUCAUCCGUGCUCCUGCAAUUCAUUCUGAAACCCUCAAACAAACGCAGUUAAACACAAAGCCAAGUUUUGCACCCUGUGAAUGCCUCUGCCCACAUGAACUUCUCUCCGUCUCUGUGCAGGCAGCCCGGGAGCUGCCCUCCUGGUGCCGGCGCUCCCUUCUUGCACCCUUCAUCGCCGACAAUCCAGCACCUUUUGUCCAGCGCCGUUCAGCUGCACCAACCCGAGGGCCACUACAAACUUCCAGACAGAAGCAGAGCCGCAGACUGCUGAGUGGCAGGAAGGAAAUUGCUUUGCUUGCAACCUUUUCACAGCUCCGCAGGCUGGGACCCCCAGGACUCGCGGACUGCGGAGAGGUGCGCACGGAGCCGGCGUCCCCUAACAUCCCUGGUGGGAGCAGGUCAGCGUUUUCAGGCAUUUCAUGUGGAUACAGGAGGGAACAAGGAGCUGCUGGAAUUGCAGCGGGUGUUUGGAUACUCUUGAUGGACGGGGUGCUGUUCCCUCACGGUGAGCCUGAGGUUGCCAGCCCGGCUCCUUCUCCUCCUGUCAAGCACAGGGGCACAGCGAUGCCGUGGCGCUGACCCCUGAUGCUCAGAGCUCGGGAGCCUUGUCUCCAAAUUCAAACAAUGACAUUAAAUCCUGUUUUCUUUUCCCUUGC